rnacentral:rRNA from 1 species
GCCAAACAGCUAGCUUAAUCACCAAAUUAAUAAAACAACAUAAAUAAAAUAAAAUAAGUCUAGAUCUAUAAACUAAACCAUUUUUCCACCUUAGUACGGGCGACGGAAAGGGUAAACUUAAGCAAUAAAGAGAG